AAAAAGUAAAAUCACAAAAAUACUGAACUCAGAGGAAAAUCAAUUCGGAAAGUCCAUAAUCACAUGGCAAAAUCAAAUAACAAAACGCAUCAAAAACGAAUGGACAAGAACUGUCAUAUUCCUGACUUGGUACAGGCAUUUUCAAAUGUAGAAAAUGGUGGAUUGAACCUGGUUUUAUAGCUAGCUAAACCUCUCACUUGUAUGACAGUCGCAUCAAAUUCCAUUAUAUAGUCACCGAUGCGUGAACAAAACAAACAGAC
rnacentral:lncRNA from 1 species